GCUGGGUGUGGUGGCUCACACCUGUAAUCCCAGCAAUUUGGGAAGCUGAGGUGGGUGGAUCACCUGAGGUCAGGAGUUCAAGACCAGCCUGGCCAACAUGGUGAAACCCUGUCUCUA
rnacentral:SRP_RNA from 1 species